ensembl:lncRNA
CGGAGGAGAGCCACAAUGGAUAAACUAACGGGCCACGGGAGGACCGCGCUUUGAUUUAUAAUCCGUCGAGAGAUACCAUCUCGUAUGCCAUCCACGAGAGACAAGUGAAAUAACGGUUAAGGGAUCUCACAACCUCGGAAAUAAACCACCAAUUCGACAUGGAUCGGUUUGAGCAUCGACAGCGCCUUUUAGAAACUGGCUGCCUCCACCUGCUUCGAAGGCGGAUUUUGGAUAAGAAGCGUUUAUCGUUUUCUGUACUGUCCUCUCUUCAUAGGUACAUCAUCUGAUUUCAUUUCCUCGGUAAAAACCUAUUCUAUAGGCUAGCCAUAUGCUUCUCAUCCUAUACCGGAACCCUUACUGCUGCCUUCCACGCGGGUGCGCCUCCCUCCGUUGGAUGGCAAAAGAACCAGGAAAAAUGUCCUCGCAUUGAAAAGUAAGGAUUCCUUAUUCAAUAGACGUCGAUUGGCUGCCUGAGAUACACACAGAAACUCUGCAGUGUGAACAGCACACGCUGUCUACUAUAUGUGACUGCCAGCCAUUCACACCAGGUCUGGAUUGAGCGAGGGAAAAGUGGCACAGUCGUCACAAAAAAGGAGAAAGCAGGAGGGGAAGAAAAAGGCCAACCCCCUUGUCCCUCUUCCCUUAAAUCUCCAUCACCGGAAGCCUUUGGUGCCAUCUGUGCCCCCGGAGAAAAGGACGGACGAGAUGCCUCCACCCUGUGCCAACGGGGACAAAGGAGCUGCCAGUUAGAGCGGCCCCCCUCGCAGGCAACCAGAGGACUCUGUGUGACUGACUGGGGCUGAGCUACGGAAGCCAUCUUGAUGGAGAGUCUUGCUGCUGCUCCUAAAAUGGCUGUGUUGGCAUGAGGUCCUGCUGGUGUUGACAACCUCCAGAGGAAGCCUCUUCCAUCAGCCCUGAGCCCUGAGCCCUGGGCCCUGGCAGUCGGUUUAGACGCACCAGCGGGAAUAGCAUGUCAGAUCCCAGGAUGUCACGCAAGGCCUUCCUCAUUGGCAUCCUCUCCAGUCAAACACUGAGAAAUUAGGGCACUGAAGAAUCCCCCCUAAAAUUAAUGCUUGGAGAGAUUUACUGUAAGGACAAUGUUUGGAGUUAUUAGAAGAAAUUGUUUGCAGAAGUUGCACACGGAUUAUCUGCAGAGAUAUUGCACUUGGGUAAUGAAUGUUCUCUUUUCCCUGGCUGAGAGUGUAUAGUUUCAAUAUAACUUUUAACAUUACAGCAGAAUGUAAGACAAUGUGUGUAUGAUGUGAAAUCAAAAGGGAUGAGAUCAACAUGUGUUCAUACCUUAAUCUAAGUGUGUGUGUGUGUGGUCCGUGUGCGCGUGUGAGUGUGUGUGUGUGUGGUUUGGUCCCUAUUGUACUAUUUAGAGUACUCUGGAGUGUACUGGGCUUCAGAGAAGCACUACAGUGCCCUAAUGUGUGGGCUGCUUACAAGAGAAGCUCUCUGGAUGUCUAUCCUCUGUCAUGUGCAAUUAGUUACUUUAUGAAUAGAACUGACUACUCUAUGCAAAUAAAUGUGAAUGACUCACCCUCUGGCUGUAUUGCAAAUGUUGUUUAAUGUUUGACUGACACAGUGAAAAGAAAGACAUUGUUUGGUGAAGAUUCCAUCCAUUUACUGUAUAUCCAUCAAAUGCUGCGUUUUUCCAAUUACAAAUAUUAUCUGCAUGUGUUCAUAGUGAUCAGGGAAUGUUCUACAUGAAAUGUGUUGGAUACAGUAUUGAAGCAGUCAGAUUAAUAGCCGUCUCAUUGCCUGAUUGUUAUUAUUAUCCUUAUUCAGAGAGAUAGACAGUUUUGAACAUACCUGCAAUAAAGAAAGGGACACAUACUUGUACACUAAAGUCAUACAAAACAUGUUUUUGUAAUUGAGUUCUGACUUGUCAUAACUUCUGUGCUGUUUGAAUUGAAUGUGUAUACAGAAUAAAUAAUUCAAC